UCUUUAGUACUUCGGUACGUAAGAUCAAAGGUGGCCUCUACAUGUAAGGUACUGUUUGGGGAUGAGCCCGCGUACCAUUAGCUUGUUGGUAGGGUAACGGCCUACCAAGGCAGCGAUGGUUAGCUGGUCCGAGAGGAUGAUCAGCCACACUGGAACUGACACACGGUCCAGACUCCUACGGGAGGCAGCAGUGAGGAAUUUUGCGCAAUGGGGGAAACCCUGACGCAGCAACGCCGCGUGAGUGAUGAAGGCUUUCGGGUCGUAAAGCUCUGUCAAGUGGGAAGAAAUCUUAUGGUGCCAAUACCACCAUGUGUUGACGGUACCACUGAAGGAAGCACCGGCUAACUCCGUGCCAGCAGCCGCGGUAAUACGGGGGGUGCAAGCGUUAUUCGGAAUUACUGGGCGUAAAGAGCGCGUAGGCGGUCCUUUAAGUCAGGUGUGAAAGCCCGAGGCUUAACCUCGGAAGUGCACUUGAAACUAUAGGACUUGAGUAUGGGAGAGGGAAGUGGAAUUCCUGGUGUAGCGGUGAAAUGCGUAGAUAUCAGGAGGAACACCGGUGGCGAAGGCGACUUCCUGGACCAAUACUGACGCUGAGGCGCGAAGGCGUGGGGAGCAAACAGGAUUAGAUACCCUGGUAGUCCACGCAGUAAACUGUGAACACUAGGUGUAGCGGGUAUUGACCCCUGCUGUGCCGCAGCAAACGCAUUAAGUGUUCCGCCUGGGGAGUACGGCCGCAAGGCUAAAACUCAAAGGAACUGACGGGGGCCCGCACAAGCGGUGGAGCAUGUGGUUUAAUUCGACGCAACGCGAAGAACCUUACCUGGAUUUGACAUCUCGGGAAUCUUUUUGAAAGAUUAGAGUGCCCUUCGGGGAGCCCGAAGACAGGUGCUGCAUGGCUGUCGUCAGCUCGUGUCGUCAGAUGUUGGGUUAAGUCCCGCAACGAGCGCAACCCCUAUCUUUAGUUACCAUCAUUUAGUUGGGGACUCUAAAGAUACUGCCCCGGUUAACGGGGAGGAAGGUGGGAUGACGUCAAGUCCUCAUGGCCUUUAUGUCCAGGGCUACACACGUGCUACAAUGGACUGUACAAAGGGUUGCCAGCCUGCGAAGGUGAGCUAAUCCCAGAAAGCAGUUCGUAGUUCGGAUUGGAGUCUGCAACUCGACUCCAUGAAGCUGGAAUCGCUAGUAAUCGUGGAUCAGCAUGCCACGGUGAAUACGUUCCCGGGCCUUGUACACACCGCCCGUCACACCAUGAGAGUUGGUUGUACCAGAAGUCGUUGGGCAAACCUUUCGGGGAUGCAGGCGCCUAAGGUAUGGCUGAUGAUUGGGGUGAAGUCGUAACAAGGUA
rnacentral:rRNA from 1 species